rnacentral:rRNA from 1 species
GACGAACGCUGGCGGCGUGCUUAACACAUGCAAGUCGAACGCUGAAGCUUGGUGCUUGCACUGGGUGGAUGAGUGGCGAACGGGUGAGUAAUACGUGAGUAACCUGCCCUUGACUCUGGGAUAAGCCUGGGAAACUGGGUCUAAUACUGGAUACGACAUGUCACCGCAUGGUGGUGUGUGGAAAGGGUUUUACUGGUUUUGGAUGGGCUCACGGCCUAUCAGCUUGUUGGUGGGGUAAUGGCUCACCAAGGCGACGACGGGUAGCCGGCCUGAGAGGGUGACCGGCCACACUGGGACUGAGACACGGCCCAGACUCCUACGGGAGGCAGCAGUGGGGAAUAUUGCACCAUGGGCGGAAGCCUGAUGCAGCGACGCCGCGUGAGGGGUGACGGCCUUCGGGUUGUAAACCUCUUUCAGCACGGAAGAAGCGAAAGUGACGGUACGUGCAGAAGAAGCGCCGGCUAACUACGUG